UUGGGGUACUCGGACUCGUACUCGGACUCGAGUCCGGUCUCAAGUACAAUUUUUAGGCGACUCGGACUUGUCACGGACUCGGAUGCAUUUUUACUCGGACUUGACUCGGACUCGAGCCUUUCGGACUCGGAAAACAUCCCGAGUCCGUCCGAGUCCAGAGACAGUUGACGGAAAUGUCACUGACUCAAUGCAUUAUCAUGAAAGUCUUCUCCAGUAGGUUACUUGAAAGCCGACGGGUUUAUGUGUGCACACACUCAAAGCGCACUCACAGAACGCGCCUCUCAGUCAGUGUGCGAAUACAGAGUUCUCUUUCGCUUUUAAUAGGUUCUGUUAUUGCUACACACAUGCUCGUAUUGAGACUAUUCAUGUAAAUGAAGUCGGUUUUGUCUAUCAUUGCCAAAUCAUUGCCAAGAAUAAAAGACACGCCUUCAAUCGGAAGAGAAGGGCGAACACCGACCGACACAAAACCGGUAACUAACUCACACUGUAGAUGUAUUCGAUCCAACGGCGCCUUUCAAUACCCUGAACAAAAAUACUAGAACCACAAAAUGACUGUUAAGACAAGGGUAAAGCAUUGGCAACGACGAACGAGUAAGCCACCCCAGUAUCCCUAUACAACUGAAUUUCCCGCUGAUCUUCGGGUUUACCAGACAACGAAAUUAACCCCUUCAUCAAGAACGGCUCAUAGUUAGGAUCAGCACAAUCCUCACCAGGUCGCGGAGAAACAGGCUUAACACGGGGAGGCUGAGACUGAGCUGACUAGAACAGAAGUAUUUUCCUCGGAACGUGCUGGGACAAACACGUUUUUGUGCGUGAGCACAAACUCAUCCGCAAGCACCGCUGCUUGCGAUAGCGAAACUACUUUCUGUUCAUUCAGGUACAAGCUCGUAAGCACGGAGGAUGGCAGAUUUCAUGGCAAGAUCUCAUAUUGCAAGCUCUCCUCUAAGGACAACAUUGAACAGACCUCUUGGGCCUUGCCAACAUUUUGCAUUGGAGAAGAAGGGACCUGUCACGAAUCUGGUCGGUGACUUGCGGUCCACUCACCACCAGAUGUCGCUCUCACCCUGUCACAUCACUCAGACUGUUGCACCACACCCCGGACUACAUUCCCCGUCAUUCAGCGCGCUGACUGGGUCAACACCUGUGACCAAUCAGCGGCACUAUAAAAGCCCCGGUCUUUCCCCUUGCAAUUCACGGAGUAUUGUGAUUUGUAUUGUUGUAUUUACCAUUGUUAUCCUAGUUCCUUGUUCCUAGUUCUCGUCUUCCCCGUGUAUAGCUUUCUCGCCUGGCCAUCUCGUCUCGACUGUCUCGCCGCCUGCCUAUUGGACUAUCGCUUGUUUCUUGGAUUAUUCUCUACGUCUUGCCUUUGUCACACCUGUUUGCUACUGUUUUGACCCUGCCUGUUCAACCAUGUUUUUGUCUCGUCCUUUAAAUAAAAGCUA